AGGGAAUCUUCCACAAUGGACGGAAGUCUGAUGGAGCAACGCCGCGUGAGUGAUGAAGGUUUUCGGAUCGUAAAACUCUGUUGUAAGGGAAGAACCAGUACGUCAGGCAAUGGACGUACCUUGACGGUACCGUAAGAAUAAGCACCGGCUAACUACGUGCCAGCAGCCGCGGUAAUACGUAGGGUGCAAGCGUUAAGCGGAAUUACUGGGCGUAAAGCGUGCGCAGGCGGUUUUGUAAGACAGUGGUGAAAUCCCCGGGCUCAACCUGGGAACUGCCAUUGUGACUGCAAGGCUGGAGUGCGGCAGAGGGGGAUGGAAUUCCGCGUGUAGCAGUGAAAUGCGUAGAUAUGCGGAGGAACACCGAUGGCGAAGGCAAUCCCCUGGGCCUACACUGACGCUCAUGCACGAAAGCGUGGGGAGCAAACA
rnacentral:rRNA from 1 species